CUGCAGUCAAUUCAGCCUAUGUGCUUUUUCUGGUGGGAGUUGGAUAUAUGGCAAUAACUGCAAAUAGUAUUCUCCAUGGGUAUGUUUGCAUCCUGUUGCUGGUUUGGGUGCUCCACAGGAACCUUGGAGAUAGUC